GCUCCUGGUACCUACGGCAGGAUCGGUCUCUGAACAAAUAAUUCUGCUCUUCCCUGUUUUCAGCGUUUCUGUUGUUCCCUCCCUCAUUCUACAGCGGGGAGCACCAGGGACAGGGAAGAAGGAAGUCCUGCAGCCGGGCUGGUUUCGGUGCUUUAAGCAACAGUGAUGUUUUUUCUGCUUUUCUGAAGGGUGUUUGUCCUGCCUGUAGCUGUUCAAAGUCCUAACAUUGUUAUUGCUAAGAAAGGCAUUUGACACAGCUCCAGAGCAGUCACAGCCAACACCUCCAUGGCCCUUUGGGCAAGUGGUUUGAACAAGUUCUAUCCCAGGACCAUUGGCUCUGGAAGAGAAGAUACUGCCAGCUAUGAGCACAGUAAUGAGAUUACCUAGAAUCCUCAAAGAAACCAUCUUGGUCAGUGUGCAGAUUAUUUCUACCUUUCUGUGCCUCAUCUUUUAUAAACAUAUAAGCAGGAAGAUAAUGGUUUUCUCUCAGAAGAUGUGUUCUCAAGUUUUACUUCAUUAACACCUGCAUGGAGCCUGCAACAGAAAAUCAAUUUACUUGUAAAUCAAAAUCCUGGUUUUGAACACUGCUGGAUGUACUGAAACCAGACCUGUGCACUGACAAAUUCACUUCCCAGCUAUCCCUGAGCACGUCAUUGUAACGUCAUGAAUGUCACUGACGUCUUGCAUUAUCAGAGAUGUGCAAAUUCACCUACAAUUUUUUCACUAAUUGAUAUGAAAAAGAUCACCUAGAGAUCUAAAUAUAAAAAUCAUACCUGCAGAUGACAAAUAAAUGACUCAUUUUAGAGUGA